ensembl:antisense 4930588K23Rik RIKEN cDNA 4930588K23 gene
GAUCAGGAGACACACCCACCCACCAGCUCUGGAGGCACGCAGGCCAUGACAGGAAGAAUCCUGCCCCGUGUUUCUGUCACUAUGGAUCAGGAAGCAGCACACAGAUCACCACUUUCAUGUCUGUAACCCCAAUAGACAUCACCAGUGGAUCUCAGAUCUCUUUCUUUACUGGAUGGAAAGGCUCGGCUUAAGUUCCUCGGCUCAAAACCAGACCCUGGACAUGGACGUGCUCACCCAGAUGGUGCCUAGGUAGGGCAGCUGCUUGUUUAUUUGGUCCUGGUCUGGAAUGGAUUCAAGACUUCUGAUGGUCUUACCUGAGCGUGGAGACCUGGGAGAGGGACCGUCAGGUUGCAAGCCCCACAGGUCUCCUUCCCCUGUGCUCAAGGAGUGUCUUGCAGGGAGUGUCCGUAACUCCCUGCUGUCAGAAACUACCACCCAGGGAACAGAGCAGCAGGUGGGGGUCUGCUCUUCUGUGCUGGCCCUGCCCCCAUGAGGCUGAAUGGGCGCCUUGGUGCAGCUCCGGGGGCCCCAGAAACAUUUGCUUUAAGUCUUAAAAUAUCAGGUUCCCGAAUGGCGGGACUUCCCUGGGGGCUGGCAGCAGGCAGGAGGGAUUUUGAGAGUAAGAUUCCCUCUGGCUCCGCCCCAUUGGCUCCGCCCCAUUGGCCUCCACUGAAGCCAGGCAAAUGUUGUGGGUAAGCCAACAGGGCUCCGACUGGGCUCCCAUUCUCCUGCUGGAGGGAGCCUCCUACUCACUCGUCCAUCUCAGCUUCUCGGAUGCCCCUCUGUCCUCUUCACAAUGUGUGCCCUGGUGGAGGCCGGGCCCUGACAGCUUCCGUACCAAGCUUCAUAGCCAAAGCUUGAUUCUACAGGACCCAAUAACAUCUUCAGCUAAAGACGAUUUAGAUGAAGUGCUGUGUACCCUAAGCCUGUGUGCAGCCUUCUUUCAGACCAGAGAAACUAGGAAGAAAUGACACCAGGUUAAUAUGGAGCUUAGUACUCCCAGUGGCUUUCAAGCAAUAGGUAUAAUUGCACAGGGUCUUGAAGGGUGAGUAGGAGUUUCCAGAUGGCUCAGGUGGGGAGGCUCAUUGGCUCAAAGAUCUGGGUGGUACAAGCUGGUACCUGGUUCUUGGACUAGAAGGGAGACUCUGUGGGUACAGACAGGGACAGAGGGAUGUUCGAUCCACUUCUUAGAACAUAUAGGAGCUUGGCACGGGUGCCACCUGAGGAUGCAAUUGAGAGCUAUUAGAGAUUCAGGUAUUAAAAGCAGGGAGACCUUCUGCACACAAUCUGGGGGGCGGGUAAGAGAGUCUCCCCAACAGCUUGUUCUGUCCCUUAGCAUGAAAGCAACUUCCUCCUACUCCUGAUGCCCCAGGGACCACUGCCAGGAGGAAGGCACAGCCCCCACACAUCCCCACUCCCUCUCAGACAGACCACCAGCCUUGGCCCUAGGGACUCUCUUCCAUGCAGAGCGGGAAUUGGAGCCAGGCUGCAACAGCUGGGUCCACUCCUGCCCACCCCCCCAGGCCUACCACUUUCAUUCCCAGGCCCCCAGCCCAAGCCAUUCCCAGGCUGUAUCUGUCCCCAAACACACUGCUUGGGAUGUGGUCCGACCAGGCUUCCAGAAGACCACCAGUCAGGGUGUUGCCUUCCUCUGGCUCCCAGGAUGCAGAGUCUUAGGUUGGCAGGGUUUCUUAGGCUUGUUGUCACCAGGGUAAGCUAUAAAGAACAGAGGUCCCCUAGGGGACUCAACAGCUCCCCCAGAAAUAGCAAGAGGGAGGGACUGAGGGAAAAGGAGCGGGAGGGAGAGGGGAAGGGAGAGAGAAUAUAUCAUUCAAGGUAUACAAGACCUCCAACAGUUCAUUCUGGAAGCAGCUACCUAUAGAUUCAUGCAUGUAUUCAAACAGCCAGUCCUGGUUCCAACUGGUGGGUUCCACCAACCACAGAAUAAAAAUAUUUUAAAAGG